rnacentral:rRNA from 1 species
AAGUCGUAACAAGGUUUCCGUAGGUGAACCUGCGGAAGGAUCAUUAAUGAUUGCGAAUGGUCGCCUUCAGUGCUGGCUCCCCGGAGCAGGUGCACGUUGGUGGCUUCAUCCAAUUCCACACCCUUGUGAACCUUUGGCCUCUUGCUAGCUUCGGCUGGCAGAGGAUUUUACACAUACUCGAAUGUAAUGAAAACUAUUGUUGUGCGCAAGCACUAAUAUACAACUUUCAACAACGGAUCUCUUGGCUCUCGCAUCGAUGAAGAACGCAGCGAAAUGCGAUAAGUAAUGUGAAUUGCAGAAUUCAGUGAAUCAUCGAAUCUUUGAACGCACCUUGCACCCUUUGGAAUUCCAAAGGGUAUGCUCGUUUGAGUGUCAUUGUACUCUCACACUCUCACUCUCUGAUCCUUUGGAUUUGGGGAGUGGUGGACUUGGGUGCUUGCUGCUUUCCUUGUAGCUCACCUCAAAUACAUCAGUGCACCUCUUAAUUGGACAUAGUACGGCGUGAUAAGUGUCUUCGCCGGCACCUCGUAAGAGGGUGGCCGAUUGGGAGCUCUGUGCUUUCAAAUCGUCUUCGGACAAUAAUCUGACAACUUGACCUCAAAUCGAGUAGGACUACCCGCUGAACUUAA